UUGUAAACUCUUUAUAGGGAAUAAAGUACGGGACGCGUCCUGUUUGUAUGUACUUAUGAAUAAGCAUCGGCUAACUCCGUGCCAGCAGCCGCGGUAAUACGGAGGAUGCGAGCGUUAUCCGGGAUUUAUUGGGUUUAAAGGGUGCGUAGGUUGGAGAAUAAGUCAGCGGUGAAAUCUCACAGCUUAACUGUGAAACUGCCGUUGAAACUGUUGUUCUUGAGUGUAAACGAGGCAGGCGGAAUUCGUAAUGUAGCGGUGAAAUGCAUAGAUAUUACGAAGAACCCCGAUAGCGCAGGCAGCUUGCCAGGCUACAACUGACACUGAAGCACGAAAGUGUGGGUAUCAAACAGGAUUAGAUACCCUGGUAGUCCACACAGUAAACGAUGAUUACUCGCUGUUUGCGAUACACAGCAAGCGGCCAAGCGAAAGCGAUAAGUAAUCCACCUGGGGAGUACGCCGGCAACGGUGAAACUCAAAGGAAUUGACGGGGGCCCGCACAAGCGGAGGAACAUGUGGUUUAAUUCGAUGAUACGCGAGGAACCUUACCCGGGCUCGAACGGCUAUGGAAUGUUUAUGAGAGUAAGCAGUUCGCAAGAACCGUAGUCGAGGUGCUGCAUGGUUGUCGUCAGCUCGUGCCGUGAGGUGUCGGCUUAAGUGCCAUAACGAGCGCAACCCUUACCGGGAGUUACCAUCUGGUCAAGCAGGGGACUCUUCCGGGACUGCCACCGCAAGGUGCGAGGAAGGUGGGGAUGACGUCAAAUCAGCACGGCCCUUACGUCCGGGGCGACACACGUGUUACAAUGGGGGGGACAAAGGGCAGCUACCGUGCGAGCGGAUGCGAAUCUCCAAACCCUCUCCCAGUUCGGAUAGGAGUCUGCAACCCGACUCCUUGAAGCUGGAUUCGCUAGUAAUCGCGCAUCAGCCAUGGCGCGGUGAAUACGUUCCCGGGCCUUGUACACACCGCCCGUCAAGCCAUGGAAGCCGGGAGUACCUGAAGUACGUAACCGCAAGGAUCGUCCUAGGUAC
rnacentral:rRNA from 1 species